AGCAGCCGCGGUAAUUCCAGCUCCAAUAGCGUAUAUUAAAGUUGUUGCAGUUAAAAAAGCUCGUAGUUGAAUUUCGGGAUCAAAUUGUCGGUCGUGCCUCGGUACGCACUGGUAUUAUUGGUUCCUCCCUUCUGAAGAACCGCGAUGUCAUUAAUUUGGUGUCGUGGGAAAUCAGGACUGUUACUUUGAAAAAUUGAGUGUUUAAAGCAGGCUUACGCUUGAAUACAUUAGCAUGGAAUAAUAG
rnacentral:rRNA from 1 species